CAGUUAUUGAAAAACAACAGUUAUUGAAAAACAGUUAUUGAAAAACAACAGGCAAUUGCAAAAACAAAUUGACCUUUUUGUGUUCCUUGAGCUCAGUUGCGAAGGGCCCUCAUGACUGGGCCUCAUGACAAACAACUUGUUACAAAAAGAGCUCGGUUUCCAGAUCGCACCGAAGCUUCCUGGGACCUCUCCUCAUCUGUGCACGGACUAGUGGCCAAUUCUGAAUCCCAGGCUGUUGUUUCCCAGUCUGGUGAUGAAUCCUCCACAGUCUGAACACACAUAUGCACCAUGGAAUACUAUGCAGCUACGUGUUCUCACUUGUAAAUGGGAGCUAAAUAAUGAGAACUUAUGAACACAAGGGAACAACAGACAACAGACACUGGGGGUCUACCUGAGCGGGGAAGGUGGGAGAAGGGAGAGGAACAGAAAAGAUAACUGUGGGGUACUGGGCUUAAUACUUGUGUUAUGAAAUAAUCUGUAUAACAAGCCCCUGUGUUAUGAGUUUAUCUAUGUAACAAACCUUCACAUGUACCCCCAAACCUAAAAUAAAACAUUUUUUAAAUCCUUUAUGAAAGCUGUAAGAUCUGCUCCUGUGUGUUUGUAUGUCUAUAUGUGUUACAUGUAUGUAAUAAUAUUUUGUAAAUAAAGCUCAUUCUUAAAUCGUUAAAUAGAAAUGGCUUUACA
rnacentral:lncRNA from 1 species